CCUUGAAACACCGGUUCCCGUACAAUCACCGAAGUUAAGCAACAUCGAGCUUGGUCCGUACCAAGAUGGGUGACCGCUUGGAAAUACCAGAUGCUGUAA